GACGAACGCUGGCGGCGUGCUUAACACAUGCAAGUCGAACGGAAAGGCCCUGCUUUUGUGGGGUGCUCGAGUGGCGAACGGGUGAGUAACACGUGAGUAACCUGCCCUUGACUUUGGGAUAACUUCAGGAAACUGGGGCUAAUACCGGAUAGGAGCUCCUGCUGCAUGGUGGGGGUUGGAAAGUUUCGGCGGUUGGGGAUGGACUCGCGGCUUAUCAGCUUGUUGGUGGGGUAGUGGCUUACCAAGGCUUUGACGGGUAGCCGGCCUGAGAGGGUGACCGGCAAAGUGGGGACUGAGAUACGGCCCAGACUCCUACGGGAGGCAGAAGUGGGGAAUAUUGAACAAGGGGCGGAAGCCUGAUGCAGCAACGCGGCGUGCGGGAUGACGGCCUUCGGGUGGUAAACCGCUUUGGCCUGGGACGAAGCGGGAGUGACGGUAAGGGGUAAAGAAGCACCGGCUAACUACGG
rnacentral:rRNA from 1 species